ensembl:lncRNA
GCACAGAUUUACAUGAAGCAUAAGUGAGCCUCAGAGGGAACUAGGAGAGGAGAGGAGAAAGGGGGGGGGGGGUCCCUACUAAACAGCAGGGCUGUUUCCACCAUCUUAGAUUGCAUUGAUUAUGCUUUGCUUCUCACACGCUAGAGCUCUUUCUCUCCCUGCCUGUCCCUCCCUCCCUCUUUCUGUCUGUUCUGCCACCUUCUCCACUCCGCGAUCAGCAUUUGGCUUUUUCCAUUUGAGGCAGAUUACUGUAACGCUAUUGUACAACAACUUCCUGCCUCUUUUGGCUCUGGUUCUAAAAAACUGCAAAAGGCAGACCUCGUGGCUUUAACUUUUUUCCCCCCUCGGCCUUGAACCAGGAGCUCUAUAAGGGAAGAAAAGGAGGAAGGAGAUAUGUAAAGUGUAUUUAUUACUGAGGAGCUUUUUUUUUUUUCUCUCUUUUUUAAAAAUAAAUUUCAUUUCUGCUUUAUAAACUGCUGAGAAUUAAAGAGGGGACUUCAUUCCUAGCAAGAGACAAUGAGAAAGAGAGAAAGAGGGAGACAGAGAGGAAAAACACAAGGACCUUUGAGGGCACUCCCCAUCGAGGAGGGAACAAAGGCCAUGACCCCUGGGUCAAAAGCGUUACAUGGGAGGCCAAGCGAGCUCAUUGAAUGCUCCACUGUUGUUUGCUUUAAGAAGGAUUCUGAAAGGAGAGGAGGAAGAGAGAAACAGAGAGAAAAGAGCAAAGGAGAGCUUCUCCUGGGAACAAGCUGGAAAUUAUGGACCUAUUCGAUAUCAGACCUCAGAGUGGACAACCUAUCCUAAGAGGGACGCGCCCUAACUGUAACUAACAACUACUUCUGGCAGCCCUUCAACAACCAGACAUAUUGUCCUGGAUCAGGGCCGUUUUCGAAAAGGCAGCAAUGAGCAAGGGCAGCCUAGGCAAGAAAUCAACAUCGACCUUCAGCCUCAUUAAUAUCAAUUAAUACUUUUUUUCUCUAAUAAAAAUACAGAAUUUUAAACUAUGAUCCCAAUGAGACGUUAAUUAUCAAAUGUAGCAUGUUAAGGUGAUACAUGCUAUAAAAAAGAAGGAUUUCCACACUAAAGUGGGGCAGCAUUAAGGGGUCAACACAGCACUUUAAAAAAAAUUUUUUUUUUUAAAUAUAUAAUGCGUGAGUUAAUUAUUUCACCUACUGUUUUAGUACUGAUAUAUUAAAAGCUCAAAAUCCAACACAAAUGCAAUGUUGCGUUACUUUGUACUGUGUAGGUCUGAAGAUCUGCAUUUAAAGUGUGAAUGCAACAAAACUGCCUUAUGGUGGAAACGAGCACAAGCAGGGUUUGAAUGAGUGUAACAAUGUAAUAAAUAUUCAAUUAAAAAAUAUUUUUGACUGAGUAUAAUACCUGUGUCAUUUUUGUCAUUAUAGCACAGAUCACAAUGUAGUAACCAAUCAUUUUUAGACAUGCACCAAAUGUUUAUUAUCUAGUUAAGCAGCA